rnacentral:rRNA from 1 species
GACGAACGCUGGCGGCGUGCCUAACACAUGCAAGUCGAACGGGGUAAUCCUUCGGGAUUACUUAGUGGCGAACGGGUGAGUAACGCGUGAAGAACCUACCUUUCAGUGGGGGACAACAGUUGGAAGCGACUGCUAAUACCGCAUAAUGUAUCGAUAGGGCAUCCUAACGAUACCAAAGAUUUAUUGCUGAAAGAUGGCCUUCGCGUCUGAUUAGCUAGUUGGUGAGGUAACGGCUCACCAAGGCGACGAUCAGUAGCCGGACUGAGAGGUUGAACGGCCACAUUGGGACUGAGAUACGGCCCAG